GACUGACAGCAGUGGUGAAUUUUGACUUAGACUGAGUUGAAAUGUGCUUCUUCCCUUUCCAAAGCUGAGGCCCAUUUGCACAACAAGCAAAAAAGACAAGGUGUAAAGGUAACUGAGCCCCAGAGAGAUUAUGUGACUUCAUGAAGAUAACAUGUCUGACAUUACCAGCUGAUCAUGGCACCAUUUCGUGAUGAGCCUGGAUUCAGUAUCAGAUUUCUUCUUAAGGUUCCAAGCAGUUCACUGGAAAUGACAUUGAAGAUGAAACCUAUUUAUCCUGUCAAGCAUAGGUUAGCUGUCUCCAAUCCUGAGGUCACCACUCAUCAAGAGGGGAUAAUCCCAAGGACAGCAGGAUCUGCUCCAUCACCUGGAUCUAGGAGCGAGAAACUCGUCAGGCAACUAAACAGUAACAAUAACCCACCAUUACACACACCGAGAGAAGAGUGUGAUGAGGAAUUUGUACAAGAAGAAUCCAGGAGCUCUUGCUGACAGUGCCUAUGGAGAUGUGACCACUGUGAGCUCUGCCCAUUGAACUGCAGUAAAAAAUCUCCCCCUCCCCGGCGAUACUUGGAUGUGGGCACAGUGCAGACCACAGUCUAAGCAUGGACUUAACAGAGCGAAAAGAAUUUGGACUGUGGGGGUCAGAUAGACCUGGGUUUGAAUUGUUAUUCUCUGUUGUAUGCUUUGGCAACAUUUUAAAGCCUCUGAGCCUCAGUUUUCU